rnacentral:rRNA from 1 species
CGCCUCUUGAAUAAAUAUAAGAGGUCCAGCCUGCCCAGUGACCAUGUUCAACGGCCGCGGUAUCCUAACCGUGCGAAGGUAGCGUAAUCACUUGUUCUUUAAAUAAGGACUAGUAUGAAUGGCACCACGAAGGUUACACUGUCUCCUCUUUCUAAUCAGUGAAACUAAUCUCCCCGUGAAGAAGCGAGGAUAAUAAUAUAAGACGAGAAGACCCUAUGGAGCUUCAAACUACAAGACACUUGCUUAAAUAUAACUAAAUUUCAGAAGACCGCUCCCAUCCCAGCAAGAUGACCUUUAGUUUUAGGUUGGGGUGACCGCGGAGAAAAAAAUAACCUCCACAUUGAAAGGAGCCCACUCCUUAGCCAAGAGCCACACCUCUACGCACCAACAAAAAGACAUUAAUUGACCCAAUAUUUUGAUCAACGAACCAAGUUACCCUAGGGAUAACAGCGCAAUCCACUUCAAGAGCCCCUAUCGACAAGUGGGUUUACGACCUCGAUGUUGGAUCAGGGUAUCCCGGUGGUGCAGCCGCUACCAAAGGUUCGUUUGUUCAACGAUUAANACCCU